UCUGCACCUUAACAUCAUCUACCCAUCCUGAUUGUGUAUUCCCUAAUCUCUCAUAACAAAAUCUGUCACUCAAUUGACCCAGAACCUCAGUGGCAUCAUGUGGGGAGAGAGUUCCAGAUUUCGACUGUGCUGUGUGUGAGGAAGCACUUCUUGACAUCCCUCCUGAAUGGCCUAGCUUCACUUCUAGACUUAUAGCUCCUUUAUUCUGGCAUCCCAAGGCAGAUGGCAUAAUAUCAGUCUGUCUAAGUUAUGAGUGAUCUACCAACUUUACUUCUCCAAUUCCUUUGCCAGAUCGGGACCAAGGGAAGGUCGGAAAAAAUCCGGACAUACAAUUUCCCUCAAGAUAGGAUUACAGAUCAUCGGAUUGGCAAGUCAUUUCAUGACUUGAGGACUUUCAUGAUGGGCGAGAAGCUCCUGGAUGAAAUGGUUGAAGAUCUGAAGGGCCUGGCGGACAGUGAAUCCCUCCUCGAGUUACUGGAACAGAGUGCAUCAAAGCAGCAAAAUGAACAAAGGCACCAGUGAUGUCUCAGGGCUCUUUUUAAACUCUCAAUGAAAAGGACUAGAAUCUUCAGACCCUCUCCUCAACAGCUUCACAUAGUCAGUUCUGGAACUUCCCAUCUACCAGCACUGUUGGUGUAUAUUCCCUGUAUGGACUGCAGUGGUUCAUUACUCUCAGUUAAUUGAGCACAAGGGAUAGGCAAUAAAUAUCAGCCUGUAAUCAAACAUAAAUGAAUCAAUAAAUAUUUGCCAAUGUUGACAAUUCUAA